CCUCGCUCUGGACUGUACUGGCGCGGCCCUGCCGUAAAACCCCCAACUUCUGAAAAUUUGACCUCGGAUCAGGUAGGAAUACCCGCUGAACUUAAGCAUAUCAAUAAGCGGAGGAAAAGAAACAACAGGGAUUGCCCUANUAACGGCGAGUGAAGCGGCANCAGCUCAAAUUUGAAAGCUGGCUCCGGCCCGCGUUGUAAUUUGCAGAGGAUGCUUCUGGCGAGGUGCCUUCCGAGUUCCCUGGAACGGGACGCCAUAGAGGGUGAGAGCCCCGUAUGGAUGGACACCAAACCUGUGUGAAGCUCCUUCAACGAGUCGAGUAGUUUGGGAAUGCUGCUCUAAAUGGGAGGUAAAUCUCUUCUAAAGCUAAAUACCGGCCAGAGACCGAUAGCGCACAAGUAGAGUGAUCGAAAGAUGAAAAGCACCUUGAAAAGGGGGUUAAACAGUACGUGAAAUUGUUGAAAGGGAAGCGCUUGUGACCAGACUUGCGCCGGGCAGCUCAUCAGGGGUUCUCCCCUGUGCACUCUGCCCGGCUCAGGCCAGCAUCGGUUCUCGUGGGAGGAUAAGAACGGUAGGAAGGUGGCCCCCCUCCGGGGGGGUGUUAUAGCCUGCCGUACGAUACUCCCGUGGGGACCGAGGUUCGCGCUCCGCAAGGAUGCUGGCGUAAUGGUCAUCAGCGACC
rnacentral:rRNA from 1 species